GUCUCAUGCUAGCUCAGUUGGUAGAAGCAUGAGGCUCUUCAUCUCAGGGUUGUGGGUUCAAGUCCCUCAUGGGGCA